GUCAAGAAGUUUUCAAAAAGGCCCGCAGAGUGACCGCAGAGAUUUCUGUUAAGGAAAACUGGCGUAGACCAAAAGGUAUUGAUUUAGAGUCCGAAGGAAGUUCAAAGGAUGUAACUUUGAUGCCCAAUAUUGGGUAAUGGCUCAGACAAAAAG